rnacentral:lncRNA from 1 species
AUGACACGUUUUCUGUCUGGUAGGAUUUUGAAAUUCUCAUUCCAUCCCAGGAGCAGCAAGUUCCUUGGAGCUUGUAAUUUACAUGACAAAUCACACAAGUGGGACAGUAAGACACAGCCCAGGGAUCAGUGUGCUCUGUCGCCAUGGUUACAGCACUGUUACCAGGACAACAACGAAUAUCAAGUUCAGCUUUUGCUUAGUUUUUUUUGUUUUGUUUUUUUUAAGGCCACGUCAGCAAGAUGUCUGUUUACAGUAUGUGGACAUGGGGAGUGUCUGUGUUUAUUUAUUACAUCUGGCUUAGCAAAUAAAUCCAUUUAUAAGCCGAUUAUUACCGUUGUGCAGAGUUUUAUGCUAUGCUAA